AUUGAACGCUGGAGGCAGGCUUAACACAUGCACGUCGAGCGAGAGGCGGACGGGUGAGUAAUGUUUGGGAAACUGCCUGAUGGCGGGGGAUAACUACUGGAAACAGUAGCUAAUACCGCCUACCAUACGAUGUGCCCAGAUGGGAUUAGCUAGUAGGUGGGGUAAUGGCUCAACUAGGCGACGAUCCCUAGCUGGUCUGAGAGGAUGACCAGCCACACUGGAACUGAGACACGGUCCAGACUCCUACGGUAGGCAGCAGUGGGGAAUAUUGCACAAUGGGCGCAAGCCUGAUGCAGCCAUGCCGCGUGUGUGAAGAAGGCCUUCGGGUUGUAAAGCACUUUCAGCGAGGAGGCGUUACUCGCAGAAGAAGCACCGGCUAACUCCGUGCCAGCAGCCGCGGUAAUUC
rnacentral:rRNA from 1 species